UCUAAAACUCAAAGGAAUUGACGGGGCCCGCACAAGCGGUGGAGCAUGUGGUUUAAUUUGACGCAACGCGCAGAACCUUACCAGCCCUUGACAUGUCCAGGACCGGUCGCAGAGAUGUGACCUUUUUUUUGGAGCCUGGAGCACAGGUGGUGCAUGGCUGUCGUCAGCUCGUGUCGUGAGAUGUUGGGUUAAGUCCCGCAACGAGCGCAACCCUCGCCCUUAGUUGCCAUCAUUCAGUUGGGCACUCUAAGGGGACUGCCGGUGAUAAGCCGAGAGGAAGGUGGGGAUGACGUCAAGUCCUCAUGGCCCUUACGGGCUGGGCUACACACGUGCUACAAUGGCGGUGACAAUGGGAUGCAAAGGCGCGAGCCCUAGCAAAUCUCAAAAAA
rnacentral:rRNA from 1 species